rnacentral:tRNA from 1 species
CCGUCGGUGGUGCAGGCGACCGCGUCGAAGCUGCCGGUGUCGAAGCGUCGCCAGGUGAUGCCGCCGUCGUGGGAGACGUCGCUGCCGGUC